GCUUGCUGGGGGGAUUAGUGGCGAACGGGUGAGUAACACGUGAGUAACCUGCCCUUGACUCUGGGAUAAGCCUGGGAAACUGGGUCUAAUACCGGAUAUGACUCCUCAUCGCAUGGUGGGGGGUGGAAAGCUUUUGUGGUUUUGGAUGGACUCGCGGCCUAUCAGCUUGUUGGUGGGGUAAUGGCCUACCAAGGCGACGACGGGUAGCCGGCCUGAGAGGGUGACCGGCCACACUGGGACUGAGACACGGCCCAGACUCCUACGGGAGGCAGCAGUGGGGAAUAUUGCACAAUGGGCGGAAGCCUGAUGCANCGACGCCGCGUGAGGGAUGACGGCCUUCGGGUUGUAAACCUCUUUCAGUAGGGAAGAAGCCGUGAGGUGACGGUACCUGCAGAAGAAGCGCCGGCUAACUACGUGCCACCAGCCGCGGUAAUACGUAGGGCGCAAGCGUUAUCCGGAAUUAUUGGGCGUAAAGAGCUCGUAGGCGGUUUGUCGCGUCUGCUGUGAAAGACCGGGGCUCAACUCCGGUUCUGCA
rnacentral:rRNA from 1 species